AGGCCUUCGGGUCGUAAAGCUCUGUUGUUAGGGAAGAACAAGCACCAGAGUAACUGCUGGUACCUUGACGGUACCUAACCAGAAAGCCACGGCUAACUACGUGCCAGCAGCCGCGGUAAUACGUAGGUGGCAAGCGUUGUCCGGAAUUAUUGGGCGUAAAGCGCGCGCAGGCGGUUCCUUAAGUCUGAUGUGAAAGCCCACGGCUCAACCGUGGAGGGUCAUUGGAAACUGGGGAACUUGAGUGCAGAAGAGGAAAGCGGAAUUCCACGUGUAGCGGUGAAAUGCGUAGAGAUGUGGAGGAACACCAGUGGCGAAGGCGGCUUUCUGGUCUGUAACUGACGCUGAGGCGCGAAAGCGUGGGGAGCAAACAGGAUUAGAUACCCUGGUAGUCCACGCCGUAAACGAUGAGUGCUAAGUGUUAGGGGGUUUCCGCCCCUUAGUGCUGCAGCUAACGCAUUAAGCACUCCGCCUGGGGAGUACGGCCGCAAGGCUGAAACUCAAAGGAAUUGACGGGGGCCCGCACAAGCAGUGGAGCAUGUGGUUUAAUUCGAAGCAACGCGAAGAACCUUACCAGGUCUUGACAUCCUCUGACAACUCUAGAGAUAGAGCGUUCCCCUUCGGGGGACAGAGUGACAGGUGGUGCAUGGUUGUCGUCAGCUCGUGUCGUGAGAUGUUGGGUUAAGUCCCGCAACGAGCGCAACCCUUGAUCUUAGUUGCCAG
rnacentral:rRNA from 1 species